rnacentral:misc_RNA from 1 species
AAGUCUGAAUGGGAUGACUGC